rnacentral:rRNA from 1 species
UACGAAGGGGGCUAGCGUUGCUCGGAAUUACUGGGCGUAAAGCGCACGUAGGCGGUCUUUUAAGUCGGGGGUGAAAUCCUGGAGCUCAACUCCAGAACUGCCUUCGAUACUGGAAGACUUGAGUCCGGGAGAGGUGAGUGGAACUGCGAGUGUAGAGGUGGAAUUCGUAGAUAUUCGCAAGAACACCAGUGGCGAAGGCGGCUCACUGGCCCGGUACUGACGCUGAGGUGCGAAAGCGUGGGGAGCAAACAGG